CUCCAUGAAUAUCCUUACAUAUACUAGUACCUGUAAUUUUACAUAAUACAUGUUUAUUGUACAUAAUAUACUGUGAGAAGUAUGUUUUGACCUCAUGAUUACUUUUUCGGUACAUCUGUCACAAAUACAGUUUAUCUAGGUCCUAAACAAACCUUGUGUAGUUAUUGCAUUUAAUAAAUGUAGCUUAUAACAGAAAGACAACUUAUAAUACAUCAGGUAACCAUUUUCUUCCAACACAACCUGGCAAAUUCACACACAAUGUGUCUCUUUCGCUAUUUCAAAGGUGUGUUGAGCUCACUGCAAUAAGGAAGAGGUCAAUACUUCAGUUACUUGUCUUCAUAUCAUUCUUUUUGCAAUUUCACUGACAGAACAGUUAAUAAUUCAAGAACUGAAAUGCUAUUUGGAAGCAGAAUUCAACUCAGGUCAUUCACAGUUCCCAUUGCCAACCACAAAGCAAUAAGUCAUGCUUUCCUGCAUACCCAAAUACAGCAUGUGAUUUACAAUGAUGACAUCAAUCCGACUCAUUUGGGCUUGUUCUGAGCCUGAAGAAGAGAAUGACCUACACAUACAUAGGAAAGAGUCCUGAAAAAAUGGAAAUGUAAAAACAUGCAAGGAAACAUUUAAAAUACUUAUUAAGCAAAAUAAGAGAAACAGAAAAUAUGGAGGUCCAUAACAGGUUGAUAGGAGUCCUUCCACUGCAUUUCAUGAUGAGCAAAAUAAAAUCAAGGAUCUUUAGCAAUAAUAUUUUAAUGUUUUUGUCCAUUUUCCUUUUAUCCCCACAUACACAGGGAUUAUGUUCCCAGGUACUGCACAUAUACGUGAAAUUGCAUAUACUGCGAAACAUCAUCUAAAAAGCCAAACUCUGCCAAAAAUCCACAAAGAUCUGCCAAACUCCACCACAAUCGCUCCCUCCAAAUCUCCUUUCUCAAACUCCAACUCUCCACAGAACUCAAAUGUCAGUGCAAAGCCUUCUGAGAUUGCAUUUGCAAAGGCUCCUGGGCUUGCUAGUCGUUUUCCCACUCUUUUCGUGUCACUUUUGCACUUUUACUACUCUUUUGGGGCCAUUUUUGCACUUUUUGUGUCCCUUUGCAGUUUACAUAAAUUUAUUUAAUUAUUUCCUGGUGUCGCAUGUAUACAUGGUCAAACACGAGAGUCAAACAUGCAAAAGUGGGGAGACGCCUGUUUUCCACCCUGAGUUCUAACUGCAUAAAUGUUAAAGGCACCACACCCUUCAUUUCAGUGGUUUGAUAGACGUGCAAUUGUAAGCAGACUGCAUCUUAAAUUCUUUUAGACUGUUUUUGGGGUCCUUGGAGUAAUAUUAUAUUUUGUAAGAUUAUGCUAACAUGGAAAACUGGAAAAGAACAAGAGAUCAUAUUUCUAACUGGAAACAGAUAUAAUGCAACUACUGUGCAAGCUUUCCUUGCAGGGAAAAAUAAGCUAAUUUGCAGUACACUAGCUGAGAUUUCAAUGCAAUACAUUGCUUUACUUAACACUGUGUUGAUUAACAGUGGGUAGACCAUAUAAUUAAGUUUUUGAGUACCACAUUUUAGAAUAGAAAGCAGUUGAAGAGAAGACAAGAUUUGCCUCCCCCCAUAUGAGCCCUUUUCUGUAUGUUGAGACCCUACUUAGGUUUUAUUGGCCUACUUAGACAAGAAAUAAGAUGAGUAGUUAGUUAGUUAGUUAGUUAGUUAGUUAGUUAGUUAGUUACAGGUGGUAGCCGUGUUGGUCUGACGCAGUCGAAAUAUAUAAAAAAUUAAAAGAUUGUCCAGUAGCACCUUAGAGACCAACUACGUUUGUUUUGUGUAUAAGCUUUCGUGUGCAUGCACACUUCUUCAGAUACGUUAGUUAGUUAGUUAGUAACAUGCAGUCAUUUCCUCAGAAGUACCAAACGCAGGAGACCACAAGCAGAUUUGUUAGAGCCUGAAGCACAUGCUCUACUCCCUUUCAUAUUCCAGUGCAAUUCUUAGAAAGUACCACAGUAGAAGACAGCUGAAGAGAAGAAAAUCCCUUCUGAGACCUUCUCUGCUGAGGGCUUGUUGGCCUAGUGAGGUUAGAAAUAUAGUGACAUGAAGCAGGCCUCAUUUUGAUGUUAGGAUGCAUACAUGGAACUCCCUGCCCAAAGAGGCAGGAAAAAGAAUGGGCAACAUAUAGAGAAUUGUUAAUUGAGGAGGAAGAAAAUCAAUUGAAAGUAAAAAAAUAAAAAUGAAGAUAUGACACUUGUUAACUGAUUGGCUCCAAUAUCAUCAAUUAAAUGAUAUUUUUAGGCUGGAUAAAGAAGCUGGUUUUGGUAAAGAACUUUCAAGAUUGCAGAGAGAACUGUUGGAAAAUAAUGAAAAAAAUCUGUCAAAAAUGUAUAAAUUGGUGCCGGAGUGGGAAACAAAAGAUGAGUAAGUAAAAUCUGUAACAAUUCAUUGGGCAAAAGAUGUGGGACAUAACAUACAAAUUACCUCAUGGGAAAAGUUAUGGAAUAAAGAUCUAAAACUUACUGCUUGUUGUUCGUUAAAAGAAAACAUUAUGAAAAUGAUGUAUAGAUGGUAUCUGACUCCUACAAGACUUGUAAAAAUGUAUAAGAACACAACCAACAUAUGUUGGAAGUGUAAAGUUAAGGAGGGUACAUUCUACCAUAUGUGGUGGACAUGUAAAAUAGCUAAGGACUUCUGGGAAAUGAUUUACAACAAACUGAAAAAAAAAAUGUUCAAAAUAACUUUCAUUAAAAAACCAGAGGCCUUUUUAUUAGGUUUAGUAGGAGAAAAAAUACCAAAAGGAUAAAAAAGUAUUGUUUUUAUAUGCAAUGACAGUGGCAAGAAUAUUAUAUGCCCAAGGAUGGAAAGAGGAAAGAGCCCCAUUGAAAGAAGAAUGGAUAUUGAAGAUGAUGGAAUUUGCGGACAUGGCACUGUUAACCAGGAAGAUCAGGCACUAAGAGGACAAUAUGUUUUGUAGAGAAUGGUAUAACUUUAUUGAAUACAUUAAAGAACACUGUAAGAGUUUAAAAACAUUAGCAGAAUUCACAUAAUGCUUGUAAUUUAAAUCAACAAAGGAUAAAAAUGGAGUAUAACAAAGUUAGAUAAAGUAAUUAGAGGCAGUUAAAAGGGGGAAAAUUCUGGAAGCCAGUGGAGGGGUGGGAGGAAGUCCUGGGGUUCAGGGAACCCCAUAAAGGUAUUGAUAUGAAUAUGGUUUUGUGAAAUUAAGUGUAUAUGUCUGUGUGUAUAUGUAUAAGUGUAUGUGUUUUUAAAAAGUAUGUUUUCUUUUUGAAAAUUUGAAAAUAAAAUUAUUAUUUUUUAAAAAAGAUAGAGUGUGAAAAGCAUUAUGGCAAUUUCAAACACAUACAAAAAACAAGUUCCUGAAGGUUCUUUGUUGUUGAGACUAGAUUUUGGUAGACUGCACGCUGAAAGGCACCUCACUGAUACAUAUUUCAAAGUUUGCUUAGACUAUAUAACCUUAGGGGCAAAUUACAUAUGAUCUGUGAUCUCCCAAGAGGUUCUGUUCUUUUUUUAUUAAAAAACAGCCACUUGUGCUGAUUUGGAUUGGCACUUUGGGAGGGAUUAGCCCCUUUCCAAGUGCUAUUUCCCUUUCUUAAAUUGCUUAUCCCAUUAGCUGUGGUGGAGGAAAAUAUAGGUAUUUACAUAAUACAAGCCCUCUUCCUGCUCCACCCCAUCAUGGGUUAUAGUAGCUUCAGGGUGAUUUAACUUGGGUUUCAUUAUGUUAUGUACCCAAUAGCCUAAUGGGUCCCCCCCCCUCCCUUCAAAAUAGCAUUAAAAAAUAAGAAAUCAGUAUUGCCAAUUUGCAGCACUGAGGGUGCUAUGGGUGUCAAGACAAAGUCAACCUGGAACAAAAUUAAUCCCCUAGAAUAAAAAUUUCUCCUUGGUGCAGUGAACCUCCAACAGUGUUGUGUAAUGUUUUUCCCCAACAUCAUGGGCAGUUUGGCCCUUAAUCACAUGGCACAAGAGCCAAGGAAAUAGGUAUGUUCCCUAGCAAAGGGUAAAAGAAAACCAGCAUUUGAGAUCCUAACAAAUUGUAGUGGUCAUGUCUAUGUGUGUAUUUAGGUCAGUAGCAGCCACAUAGUUACACAUCACAUUACAUCAUCACAGUCUUCAUGGUCCCUCUAUGAUGCUAUGAUUCUAUGAAUGUUUCAUUCAUUAUCCAAAUGGAGCAGCCAGUGAAGUGGUGUUGGUCUAGGGACAUUGAUAACAUCACAUAUUACAUUUCUUCUUUUCCUAUAUAUUAUCAAAAAAGUUCCCCCUAGUCUAUGAAAAUUUGUCUCCCAUAAUCCACUCUGUGAAGGGAUGGGGGAGCUUUGAAUGCAAGCCAAUUAUUUUAACUGGAGUCAUUUCACACAUUCAGUUUGGAGUCAUAUAUUACUAGAGGAAGAUAAAUCAUGCAAUGUGCACAGCAUGUGUGAGUGCGCCCACUGGUGGUUUUCAAUAUUUGUUUUCAGAGUUCAAAAAUAUACACAUGAAAUAAAUACUAAACAUAACAAAUAAAAAUAUCAGUUCUUUCCUAAAACCACAUCAUUCACAUAUAACAUUCACUCAGAAGAACUGAAGCAGUUUACAACAAUAAAGUUAAAAUAAAAUACAAAAGAUACAAGCUUUAAAACCCAUAAAACAAUUUUGCAAUUAUAUAAGUGUGAUGAGCACUUUAUGAUAGUUGCUUGGUGUUACAGUCUCCUAUCUCAUGCUAGAAAAAGUAUAACUAUCUUCAAUGUUAGAUUCCAAAGGUAUUGUGACAGAGAUUAGGCAUAAGCUUCCUUCUCACUAAAUAAAGGAUCUGUUAGAUUUAUAUGUGGCUGAAAGAGUCAAAACAAAGAACAAUGGUCAGAAAAUAAAAUCCCUCUAUUGUACUGGCCUGGCUGCCAUGAUACUAAAUUACCUGCAGGUGUUUCUCAUUCAAACGUUAUGUAAGCUAAAAACGUAUUGGAUUUUAUUCUUUAAGCAAAGCAUGUCAAAUCAGAAAGGAUAUGCCCUCUUUAUGCUCUUUGCUGUGAAUGACUUUUCAUCUCCUAUUUCUAUACUAGAGGCCCUGUUCAUUAAAAAAGAUCAACAUCUUUCCAUGUAAGCAGCAGGUGAUAGGUCUGGUUCCCAUACUCAGCUCUUGUUCAUAGUCAAAUCUGCUGGUGCAUGGAAUACAUUUUUCUUUAACAUUUUCUCACAGCCAUGAGAAACUGAGAAGUGAUACAAUAACAGAUCCAGAAAAUUCUUGUUGCCAAUUAUAUUGUCUUUCAACUACUUCACAUUUCUAUUAACACUCUGGUCAGUGACUGACAUAAAUUGAUUCAUUCAUUCAUUCUGUUAACAAAAGCAACUGGAUUCCUAUAUGUUACCAAAUUGCUAUAAUUUAUUCUAGAGAGUUUCUUAGUAGGAAAAUAACCUGUUCCUGUUAGAGGAAGGGAAAUAAGUGGCAUUGUCUAAUAUGAGACAAUAUGUAUUAUCCAAUAAGAUUCUUUGAAAAAAACUAAACCCAUAAUUAUGGAUAUAAUAAAUCUGAAUGUUUUGUAACUAUUGAACCAAUAUAAUGUGGAGUCAAAAGUUACUUUUUUAAGGAUUAUGAAAUCAUUAUGAGCAUAGUUUAAUUUCUUAAUGUGUGUAAUUCACUGCAUCACAUGCUGCAUGUGGAAGUAAUCACUUGUCUUUAGAACAUUAAAUAAUUAACACAGAAGAUGAAGAUGAUAAAUUUGUUUGUACACUGAGGCAUUUCAUCUGAUAUAACAUUGGUAGGCUAUCCACAUGUGUUUUGGUUUUGUUUUUUUAAUGAUAAUACUUAUGAGCACAACCUACAUUUAAUUGACUAAUGUUGGGAACUUGCCAAAUGGUGACCAUUUCACUGAGAACAUUCUGAUACUUGAGUUUAGCUAGAAGGGCAAUUUAAAUACUAAAUUAUCAUUAUUUAUUUCAAUAAGAGUAAUGUAGGAAAUGAUAUUCAAUUUUGGAGUCAAGCCUAAUUGAAGUGGAUAUUUGAUGCUGCACUGAAAUAAAAGGAGUCUUUAAAAUAUCUUACUAUAGUGCACAAUUUCAUUUGCAAAUGUUAUUUAAAGUCCUGACAUAUACUUGUCAGCCUGUGUAUCAAAUAAACCUUGAAACACAGAUGCUUGAUAUGGAGUUCUUAAAAAGAGCCACAGGGGUUUGCAUAAGUAUUUUCCAUUUGAUCUCAAUAUACCUGAAGGCAAAAAAGGUGUGUUAUUUAAAAGGAUUUGUUAAUUCCCUCUUCUUUUGUUGUUUCUUUGAUAAUUGCACCAGUUUCUUUCAUGUUGGAGCCUGAGGCUUUACUAAAAUGAAAAACUUAGAUUUGUGUUACCACUAUCAUGGUGGGCUAAAUCUCAAAUUUCAUAUAAUUCAGUUGAGGCUAAUUGGUGAAAGUAAUGUCAUGAACUUUAUGUCCAUGGUGUAGACCCAAAGGUAGAAAUCAACAGGAAAUUAUUCUGGCCCUGCAUGGCAAAUUGCUGGCAAUCCAGUGGCAUGGAUCCAAUGCUGUCCCAAAUUUCUAUCUCUCAUUGUAAUUUUUGUGAAAGGAACUCAGGAAUCCACUCUAAAUUGAUUCACAGCAUUUACAAAAAUAGCAGGCUUUGCAGGUGGCAGCAGAGGUGAAUUUAGGGUAGCACGACUGGUUCGGCUGCACUGGGCACAAAGCCUCGAGGGUGCUGCAGGGGACACCACAACUAUGACGUUGUAUGGAAGGUGAGAGGCAGAGGGACACCAAAUUUUGGUAUUGCACAGGGCACCAAUGAAAUUUGAAACACCAAGAUCUGGCACUGGUGUUAGAUUACCGGUGUGUCCUGGGAGACUAGGGUUAAAAUUGUUUCCUGCUUGGCAGGGGGUUGGACUCGAUGGCCCUUGUGGUCUCUUCCAACUAUGAUUCUAUGAUUCUAUGAAAAUCAGGAAUCAAGACAUGAAGCUCACCAAAUAACCUUUGGUUAGUCACCUUGACCUCAAUGCCAUUCUGCCCUACCUCUAUCCAAGUGAACUUCAGCACUAUACAGAUAAGUUUUUGUGGCAUUGCCUCACAGCAAUUGCUGCUGGCAAUUGCAAACACUAGCAAAGUUUUUUAUGUGAGCAAUUAUUAUGCCACAUGGUGAGUAUCAACUAAAUUCUGUAACAACUUGCUAAUUUUGUAUUGGAAAUCAUGACAUAAAGUCUGCUCUUGAACACAAAUGUUCAAAACAUAGCACCCAAAAUUCUUAUGUGGGUAGGAUUGUUUGCCUUUGUGGUUUUUUUUGAAGCUCUCCUUCGCAAAGGUUUUGUACAGUGAUAACAGCAACAAGAGGAAAGUAUCUUUAUCAUAAAGCUUCUGGACGUUGUUAGCUCUAGUGAUUUACUAUACAGUACAACAAAAUUAGGAGAAUUAUACAGUACUAACCCAUGCACUGUAUUUGAGCCACAUGCAUACACCUCUUGGGUCCUAGGCUAGAUUCACCAUAUUUUGCUAAAUCUAUGCCCUCAUGAUUUGGGAGUUUCCCAUUGUGAAGACUGGGCCCUUACUUUCCCCUGUAUUUAUCCACUUUAUAGGCUGAGGCUCUGCAUAUACCUCACAUAGGUAAGUGUGCUUAGGAUCACAGCAUUAACAUUUUCUGCACCCCUUGACAUAUUGGCUUUUUUCUUACCACAAUUUAACAUUCAAUAGCAACUGGGAUGUUCUCAGUUGCAGGAAAACUGGGACCAGUGGUAGAAUAAGUAAGCUUAUGCCACAAUAAUAUGUAUUUAUGUAUUGCAGGUACCACAAGAAUCUUUCUUUUGCACCAACAGUUGGGUCCCUUCCAAUUCUACAAUUCUAUAUGGUUAUCCCUCUGGAAAUAAUGGUAGCCUAGUUGUCACAAAGAGCAGAAGCAUGUCAGGAUUGCAAACGAUUUAGGGCAGGGACAAUGCUUUUGCCCAGUUUAUUAUGUGGGCUUUUGUGGACUAGUUUUCACUUCAUCUGAUGCUUCAGUUGGCAUUUAUACACGGACAGAGGGAUGGGAAAUAUGUGUGACAAAUUUCGAGCAGCACCAUCAUCUUUAGUCUAUAUAAUACUUUAAUCCGGUGCUUUUUUUCUGGGGUAUGCAGGGGUACACAUACCCCUAAACAUUUUGUGAGUCUUUGUACUUUUGUCCAUUUACCGUAUUGAUUUUUCCCAAUAUGAACUACAAAAUGGUGAUUUUCUUGAGUCAAAAUGAGAGUACACCUAAACAUUUUUUAAGGAACAAAAGCACUGCUUUAAUCUCAAGUUUUCCAUAAUAGGAACCUUCUUGGGCUGCCCUAAACAGGGAACAAGCCCCAUGGAAUUCAGCAGGGUUUCCUAUUAGGAUUGUGCAGCUAGUCAUAAUCACCUCUCCCUCCUUUCCCGUUUGUAUUUUUUCUAACACUAAUACAGAUCUGUUAAACAAGUCGUCCCUGGAGUUGACUUUCUGUUUAUCUGUGGCCGAGGCAGAUGGGAGACCGUUUUUAAAACAAAAACAAACAACGACACCGUGAAGUUUGUUGCCAUCCAGUCAAAACGUUUCCUCCGUAAAUCAUUUAGUACAACAACUAGCAACCCUAGUAUCUUUUAUAUGUUUGUUUUUAUUUUAAAAGCUGGGUACUCGUGGCAGCUUUCCCUCAGGAAUUCUCUCGAAGUUUUAUUUCCUCCCCAGUUGUUGUUGUUGUUUUAAAAAAAGCAUUCCCCGAAGCAACUUUCCCUCAUAACCUCCCUCAGAUCUUCAUCCCUCCCUUCAACUCGGUGUAUGUGUGUGU